rnacentral:rRNA from 1 species
GCAAGGGGAGUGGCAGACGGGUGAGUAACGCGUGGGAACGUGCCCUUCGCCUCAGGAUAGUCCCGGGAAACUGGGUUUAAUACUGGAUACGCCGAAUUGGGAAAGAUUUAUCGGCGAAGGAUCGGCCCGCGUUAGAUUAGGUAGUUGGCGGUGUAAUGGACCACCAAGCCUACGAUCUAUAGCUGGUCUGAGAGGAUGAUCAGCCACACUGGGACUGAGACACGGCCCAGACUCCUACGGGAGGCAGCAGUGGGGAAUCUUGGACAAUGGGCGCAAGCCUGAUCCAGCCAUGCCGCGUGAGUGAAGAAGGCCUUAGGGUUGUAAAACUCUUUCGCCGGAGAAGAUAAUGACGGUAUCCGGAGAAGAAGCCCCGGCUAACUUCGUGCCAGCAGCCGCGGUAAUACGAAGGGGGCUAGCGUUGUUCGGAAUUACUGGGCGUAAAGCGCACGUAGGCGGGUUUGUAAGUAGGGGGGUGAAAUCCCAGGGCUCAACCCUGGAACUGCCUUCUAGACUGCAAGCCUGGAGGUCAGGAGAGGCGAGUGGAAUACCGAGUGUAGAGGUGAAAUUCGUAGAUAUUCGGUGGAACACCAGUGGCGAAGGCGACUCGCUGGACUGAUACUGACGCUGAGGUGCGAAAGCGUGGGGAGCAAGCAGGAUUAGAUACCCUGGUAGUCCACGCCUUAAACGAUGAGAGCUAGUUGUCAGUAAGCAUGCUUAUUGGUGACGCAGCUAACGCAUUAAGCUCUCCGCCUGGGGAGUACGGCCGCAAGGUUAAAACUCAAAGAAAUUGACGGGGGGCCCGCACAAGCGGUGGAGCAUGUGGUUUUAAUUCGAAGCAA